UACGUAGGGGGCGAGCGUUGUCCGGAUUUAUUGGGCGUAAAGAGCUCGUAGGCGGUUCGGUAAGUCGGAUGUGAAAUCUCCACGCUCAACGUGGAGGGGCCAUUCGAUACUGCCGUGACUCGAGUCCGGUAGGGGAGUGUGGAAUUCCCGGUGUAGCGGUGAAAUGCGCAGAGAUCGGGAGAACACCCGUAGCGAAGGCGGCACUCUGGGCCGGUACUGACGCUGAGGAGCGAAAGCGUGGGGAGCGAACAGG
rnacentral:rRNA from 1 species